AUACGUCUGCCACCGGGUAGAAAUGCGUAAAGCAUUCGUUUGCACAUCGUUAGGUCUAUGAAGAUGUGUAUGCGGGUGCUUAUUUUUU
rnacentral:ncRNA from 1 species